GAGGACGCAGAGCAACUGGAGGAAACAUCUGUCUAUCUGAUUCCGAGUCCAGUGCAGUUUUCAGUGGAGAAAUUCCAAGCUCCAGAGAAUGUAACCUUCCCGGUUUCUGAAGCUAUUCCGGAAAUAAACUCACCUGAAUCCUUACCUGACCCUGAAGGAGAUUUACCUAAAACCUUACCUUUUACUGAAAAUGUCUUACCUGCAGUUGAUUUUGAUCCUGUAGAGGAAAACUUACCUGAAAUGCUAUCUGUUGACUUACCUAGUUCUGAAGGUCCAAAUGUUGCCAAUGCACCUGUGGAAGAAGAACCUGAAGAAGUUAACAAUCUUGAAUCUAAUUUGGCAAACCCGACAAAUCUUGAAAGCAUAAACGACUUACCUGAUAAUGAUAAAGAAAGCAUAAAUGACCAACCGAUUGAGCCCAGUCUUAGACGCUCAAAUCGUUCUAGACAACCACCUAAGAGACUAAACUAUGUUUCAUUUGGAAAUCCCUUGAUUUCAGUCAUCCAGACUUUGUUACACAGUUUGUCCGACGCUUUGGGCACAUAAAUUAAUUAGCUCAACCGUAGUAUGCAACGGGACGUGCAUAGAUUAAAGGGGGGAGGGUGUAACCCUGGGUUAAACACACUUUUAGUUAAGAAUUUAAAAUUCCCACCCCUUUUUCAAGUCCCUGAAUGCAUCACAUUCACCUGAGUGAUCACCUGGCUUCUCCAGCCAAUCCCAUGUUUUGGAGGGAAUAUAUAUGCUGCCUCACUUCCUCUCCAGUCAGUUGUGUGGGGAGAGGAGCUGAGGAAGCAGCUGUACAGGUCAGUUCCCAAACAAACACAGUCAAAAAGAAACAUUUUGGUUUAAACUAAUACAUAAAAUGCCAAAUUACAGAGCUUUACUCUGGGAUGUGAGGAUUGGUGGGACCCAAUGCCAUUUUGUGCAAAUCUGAUCAUUGGAAUUGGCCAGGUACCUUUACCCUUUAUGGGUUAAUUCGAUGGCGAGCUAGUGAUCCACGGCCAGGAGCCAGAAGAACCCUCAGUCCGUCUCUGUAACACCUGUCGGGUAGGAGGCUGGUGCAGCCUGCUCUCUCCCUCCCCUUACUCACCUUCCAUUUGCCCCGCUCCACUACUCACCUUUCUUUGGACAAUUGCGCUUUUUCCAUAAUCCCCGAAACUUAAUAACAAUUACUGAACAUUUUGCGGUGCCUAAAUGGACUGUCGUGUGUAACUGGAAAAACUACAACAAAAGGACUUUGGGUUUUGGUUUGUUCAUUCUAAGUUGAACAUUUGGAAUUAGUGCGUGUAUUUUUAAUGUAAAUAUUCACUGUACAAUUGGGUUAUUCUUUUUGUUUCUGUUAUCAACUAUUCACCUUAAUAUAUGGUACCAUCACUUUAAAACUUA